UAAGCCUAUGAAAAAUCACUUUCUUACCUAAAUUUGCACUUUAGGACAUGUCUAGGCCU
rnacentral:tRNA from 1 species